ACAAGUUUUAUAAGAAGGAAUAAUUUAUGCGAAGAUGAUUCACCCAUAUACGUAACCAAGAAUGAAGAUGAGUAUAGUAACCUUGACCAUGAGUAUCACAAGUAGGUCGUCGAGCUCAAGAGUGAGAGAUUCACGUCUGCAUCUCGAUCCACAAUUCUAAAGAGUAAACGACUUACGUAACAUUGCUGGAGUUCUGAGGUCAGCGACUCAUCUUUAACUUUUUUUUACAUCUUCCGGCUUAACUGAGUUUUAAUGGAGACAUUUAUUAUUCACUAUUGCUAAAGAUUGUCCUGAUUUUGUAAUGGAAUAUCCUGUGCAAUCUGAACUCAUACCAUGCAUAAUUGAUAUUUAUCAAAGCAAAUUGCAACAUGGAUUUCUUGUAGUCAUCAGGCUGUCAUGAUAGUUCUUCAGACUAAUGUUGAGGAUUCUUUUGUCCCUUAUAUCGAGCGAAAGUGAAAUUAAAAGUAAACUCUUCAGUAUUCUAGUUCCUUGAAUACUGUCUACCUACUUUUUGCUUGCGUUUAAUUGCGUAACAUGUGUCUACAU